rnacentral:rRNA from 1 species
UAACCCGAUUUUUCCGGAAAUUCUUGGGCGUAAGCGCACGCAGCGGGUUUGUUAGUCAGAUGUGAAAAACAAAGGAUCAACCUGGGAACUGCAUCUGAUACUGGUAAGCUUGAGUCUCGUAGAGGGGGGUAGAAUUCCUGGUGUAGCGGUGAAAUGCGUAGAGAUCUGGAGGAAUACCGGUGGCGAAGGCGGCCCCCUGUACGAAAACUGACGCUCAUGUGCGAAAGCGUGUGGAGCAAACUGGAUUAGAUACCCUGGUAGUCCACGCCGUAAACGAUGUCGACUUGGAGGUUGUGCCCUUGAGGCGUGGCUUCCGGAGCUAACGCGUUAACUCGACCGCCUGGGGAGUACAGCCGCAAGGCUAAGACUCAAAUGAAUUGACGGGGGCCCGCACAAGCGGUGGAGCAUGUGGUUUAAUUCCAUGCAACGCAAAUAACCUUACCUGGUCUUGACAUCCACGGAAGUUUUCAGAGAUGAGAAUGUGCCUUCGGGAACCGUGAGACAGGUGCUGUAUGGCUG